GGAAUCAAGAGUUGGAUGCUUAACUGAGCCACCCAGGAUUUACCAAAAAUCAGAAGAAUUUACAUUGACCUAAACAACUGUUAACUUCUAUAAUCAACUAAUUACCUAAAGAAAGCACCAAGCCCAAGUAAGUCUAAUUCUUCCAGGCAAAAUGCUCAGGAAGAAUGACCAAACCCAGCGGAAAAGACGACGUGGGAAACUAGAUUUUAUUUGACAGAGACACAGAGAGGGAACACAAGCA